CCCACUAGAAGGGCAGCCUCCUCCUCAGCUGGACGUCUGGACCAUGGACAGUGAUCUGAGUGACGCGGACAGUGUGGGCAACCUCAGCUUCGAGGCCGAAAGUCCUUUGGCGCCCCCGGCUGAACUCCUGGAGAGGCUGCCCAGCUGUGACUGGCUUCUUCAAGGGGACAGGCGGCAGAUAUUCUUCCCACCUUUGGAGGCCCAGGGGAGACCCCAGGAGCAGAGGUGCUGGUCCCCGUUCCUGGAGCACGGCAGAGUCCCCGUGGUGACAGAGGAGGUGGCCCGGGAAGCCCUCCUCAACUUCGUGAACUCCAAGUGCUGCUACGGCAGCGCAGCUGCCACUGACCUCAUCGUCCAGGAGCUGAGGCAGCAGACCCUGUGCAGGUAUCGACUAGAGACCUUCAGCGAAUCCAGGAUAAGUGAAUGGACUUUUCAGCCAUUUACUAAUCACUCCGUGGAUGGGCCACAAAGAGGGACCUCCCCCAGGCUUUGGGACAUCGAGGUCCAGGUUCCUCCGAUGUUUCAGGAAGAUACCAGGAAGUUCCAGGUCCCUCACUCAUCACUGGUCAAGGAAUGCCACAGGUGCCACGGGCGUGGGCGCUACAAGUGCAGCGGCUGCCACGGCGCCAGCACGGUGAGGUGCCCCUCCUGCAGCGGCGCCAAGCGCAAAGCCAAGCCCGCCCGGCGGUGUCCGAUGUGCUCGGGGUCCGGCAGGCGGAGAUGCAGCACGUGCUCAGGGAGGGGGAACAAGACCUGUGCCACCUGCAAGGGGGAGAAGAAACUGCUGCACUUCAUCCAGCUGGUCAUCGUGUGGAAAAACAGCCUAUUUGAGUUUGUGUCUGAGCACCAGCUGCACUGCCCUGGGGAGCUCCUUGCUAAAGCCAAAGGGGAGACCCUCUUUAAGGAUGAAAACACGAUGGUGUAUCCCAUCAUCGACUUCCCCCUGCGGGAGAUCUCUCUGGCCUCCCAGCGGGCCAUCGCCGAGCACAACGCAACGCUGGCCUCCCGCGCCCGCGUCCUGCAGCAGCGCCAGACCAUCGAGCUGGUCCCCCUCACGGAGGUUCGCUACUUGUACCGAGGAAAGACUUCUGUCUACUACCUCUACGGCACUGACCACAGAGUGCACGUGGUGGACUACCCCGAGAGGCCUGCUGAUGAUGCCUUCCUGAGCUCUGCAUUGCUGGGGAGGUGGUGCUCCCGGAGCAGCCCUCCUGCAACUACAGGCCAGAGCUGGAGGUAGCUUCCUGGGGUCACAGAUCACCUUGCAGAGCGUCAGUUUCCACAUUUGUAAAACGGGAAUGGUCAUGCUUCCCUCAGCUGGGGUGUGUGAGUCUCAAUGUGAUAAGGGGUUGGCUGGUUGGCAUGUGAUCCAGGCACUGCCUGUCAGGCUACCCCGGCUGUCUGGGCACAGUCAUUGGUCGAGGGAUGGACACGUGACCCACGUUGGCCAAUCAUCAUCAUUCCCUGAAAGCCUGAGAAAGACGCUCCCUUUUGACUGGGCUCACUGGCUCCAAGGGCAGAAGUGACCUUAGCUGGGUCUGGUGGCCACAUCUGCUGCCCCCCGCAGGUGCACCUGCCUGAGGAUGAAGCCAACAUGGAAGAAAACAGAGGGGAGAGAUGGAGAAAGGAAGCAGGUUUUCAGCUACACAAUUUGAACUGCUGGAUCCAGUUGUCCCUAAGGAUGGCCCUUCUCUUGGACUUUCUGACUAGAAAGAAGAUUCUAGAAUGUGGAUUCCCUCCAAUUUUUUUUUUUUUGAGUUUGAACUGGUUUGCCUUGGACUUCUCUCACUUGGAUAAUACUGGCUGGACAACACUUCUGCCUGUAAGUCCACAUCCUUUCUGUUGUUAAAGAACCGGUGUUGUCCCAGACUCAGACCAAAAAACACCAUGUGCUGGAUGCCUACAGGUGCUAAUAUCAUAGAAAUGAGAGAAUCAGACCAAGAGAUCAUUUUGCUUCAGACUAGUAGAAUCUGACUGAACACAAAUGGUGGUUGAGACACAGGGGCAAGCGCACUUCUUCUUUCAACAGCAUCGUCUCUGGUCUUGGCUCAUUCAAGGCAGGGGUGUGUGAACAACCUUCACACAUGCUGUUGUACUGUCUCUACUUGCAUGGAACAUUCUCAUGUUUGAAGCCAAACUUUUGGAGCCAAAGUCUGAUAACCCAGUGAGUCAAGAGCUCAUGUCAUUCUCUCUUGUGUCCCCCGGAGACUUGAUUAAACAUCCAAAUGAAACAAGGAAUGUCAUGGCCUCAGAAAUGUGUGAUCCACUCAAGCUGAAAUGGGAAACAUCUUAGGUAUUAGUCACAUUGUUUUUGGCUACAAUUAACAAGACCUCACUAAUGAGAAACUAUAUGGUGAGGAAAUGUAAUACACAGUGGGGAAAUGUAUCGUCCAGCGCAAAGAAGAAGGAAAUUGGCUCAUGUAACAAGAAGCCCAGAGGUGAGUUCACUGGCUGGAUGACAUAACCAAGGACCUAGGCUCUCUUUAAGUGUCACCUGUGUCAUCCUCAGCUUAUUGGCUUGGUCCUCUUGUCUCAAAGUUCAAAGAUGGAACCAGGAGUUCCAACCUAACAGCACCCAGCUUAAGAAGAUGAGACUCGAGAAAUGGCUGAGUCCAAAACUGGGGCAGGGAAAGUACACAGUGAGCUGAGAGCUCCUUACUGUGCCAGAAUGUAAAGUUCAACAAAUCAUGGGAACAUGUCAAUAGAGCACCAGUUUAAAAGAGCUUCCAUUGGCCAAAUUUGGGACAGUUCGGGCAUCAAAAUAAAUAAUAACAACAGAUAAUAAACAACUUAGUAACAUAGAAACUCAUAAUUCCAAACUGAUAGAAAAAAAUGAAUACAUACAUAAAUAGGGAGAAAACAGAGCUUUUCCAUAUAGUAGAACCCUAGCAAACAUUGAAGGAAUGACUGAAUGAGUAGAAUCAACAUUUGGCAACUCUAAUUGAAAAAACAAAAUCAGUCAAGAAACCUCAUUGGAUACUAACAACCAGUGGGUGGGAUUUUGAUGAGGAACAGGAUUAGCGUAGUCUCAGUGUACCUUCCCACAAAAUACUCAUUAACUACAAAUGGAAAAAGAGUAACUUUACAAUGGGAAAAUCUAGCAUAAUCUGGUGUUUAAAAUUAAUAACCAACACUAAUGGAAGAAAUAAAAAUCUUGUAUUAUCUGAUCGGAUGCGAUGAAAGAAAACAGUAUCCCUUCUGUGGCUUUCCUACCGAAAAUGUGUAACCUGAAUCUCAAUAUGAGAGGGUAUCAAACAAACCCAAUUUGAUGGACAUUCUACGCAAUAAGUGGCCUUUAAUCUUUUAAGAUGCUGAGAUCAUAAAUGUCAAGGAAAGAACUAGGAACACUUCCAAAUUGAAGAAGACUCAAGAGACUAGAUAACUAAACGCAAUGCAUAAUCCCAGACUGGAUCUUUUUGUUAUAAAAAGACAUUAUUGGGACAAUUGGUGAAAUGAGGAUUAGGUGAUAGAACAUUAAUCCCUAAUUUUGAUGGUGGUUUUGUGGUUGGGGAGGAGAAUGCCCUCGUUUGUAGGAAUUACACCCUAAGAUAUUCAGGAGCGAUGGGCAUUGUGCCA